rnacentral:rRNA from 1 species
UACGUAGGGGGCAAGCGUUGUCCGGAUUUAUUGGGCGUAAAGCGCUCGCAGGUGGUUCGUCGCGUCGUGCGUGAAAGACCCCGGCUCAACUGGGGAGUGUCGUGCGAUACGGGCGAACUGGAGGCCAGUAGGGGGAUGCGGAACUCCUGGUGUAGCGGUGGAAUGCGCAGAUAUCAGGAAGAACACCAACGGCGAAGGCAGCUCGCUGGGACGGUACUGACGCUGAGACGCGAAAGCGUGGGGAGCGAACAGG